AGUAACGGCGAGUGAAGCGGGAAAAGCUCAAAUUUAAAAUCUGGCGGCCUCUGGUCGUCCGAGUUGUAAUUUAGAGAAGCGUCUUCCGCGCUGGACCGUGCACAAGUCUCCUGGAAUGGAGCGUCAUAGAGGGUGAGAAUCCCGUCUUUGGCACGGAUGCACCAGGGCUUUUGUGAUGCGCUCUCGAAGAGUCGAGUUGUUUGGGAAUGCAGCUCAAAAUGGGUGGUGAACUCCAUCUAAAGCUAAAUAUUGGCGAGAGACCGAUAGCGAACAAGUACCGUGAGGGAAAGAUGAAAAGCACUUUGGAAAGAGAGUGAAACAGUACGUGAAAUUGUUGAAAGGGAAACGCUUGAAGUCAGUCGCGUCGACCGAGACUCAGCCUUGCCUUGGCUCGGUGUACUUCUCGGUCGACGGGUCAGCAUCAAUUUUGCCCCUCGGAUAAUGGCGAGAGAAAGGUGGCACCCUCACGGGUGUGUUAUAGUCUCCCGUCGGAUGCGAGGGUCGGGAUUGAGGAACUCGGCACGUACCGUGCUUAGGAUGUUGGCGUAAUGGCUUUAAACGACCCGUCUUGAAACACGGACCAAGGAGUCUAACAUGCCCGCGAGUGUUCGGGUGGAAAACCCGUGCGCGUAAUGAAAGUAAAAGUUGGGACCUCUGUCGUGGGGGGCACCGACGCCCGGACCAGACCUUCUGUGACGGAUCUGCGGUAGAGCGUGCAUGUUGGGACCCGAAAGAUGGUGAACUAUGCCUGAAUAGGGUGAAGCCAGAGGAAACUCUGGUGGAGGCUCGUAGCGAUUCUGACGUGCAAAUCGAUCGUCAAAUUUGGGUAUAGGGGCGAAAGACUAAUCGAACC
rnacentral:rRNA from 1 species